rnacentral:lncRNA from 1 species
AUGGCCGCCCUUAGACCCCUUGUGAAGUCCAAGAUCGUCAAAAAGAGAACCAAGAAGUUCAUCCGUCACCAGUCAGACUGAUAUGUCAGAAUUAAGUGUAACUGAUGGGAACCCAGAGGUAUUGACAGCAGGGUUCACAGAAGGUUCAAAGGCCAGAUCUUGAUGCCCAACAUUGGUUAUGGGAGCAACCAAAAAACAAAGCACAUGCUGCCCAGUGGCUUCUGGAAGUUCCUGGUCCACAAUGUCAAGGAGCUGGAAGUGCUGCUGAUGUGCAAUAAAUCUUACUGUGCUGACAUCGCUCACAAUGUUGCCUCCAAGAACCACAAAGCCAACAUGGAAAGAGCCGCCCAGCUAGCCAUCAGAGUCACCAACCCUAAUGCCAGGCAGCGUGGCAAAGAAAAUGAGUAG